rnacentral:rRNA from 1 species
UACGUAGGGUGCAAGCGUUGUCCGGAAUUAUUGGGCGUAAAGGAGCUCGUAGGCGGUCUGUCGCGUCGGCUGUGAAAUCCCGGAGCUCAACUCCGGGUCUGCAGUCGAUACGGGCAAACUGGAGUACUGCAGGGGAGACUGGAAUUCCUGGUGUAGCGGUGAAAUGCGCAGAUAUCAGGAGGAACACCGGUGGCGAAGGCGGGUCUCUGGGCAGUAACUGACGCUGAGGAGCGAAAGCGUGGGGAGCGAACAGG